UAGCGAAGGGGGCUAGCGUUGUUCGGAAUUACUGGGCGUAAAGCGCACGUAGGCGGAUAUUUAAGUCAGGGGUGAAAUCCCAGAGCUCAACUCUGGAACUGCCUUUGAUACUGGGUAUCUCGAGUAUGGAAGAGGUGAGUGGAAUUCCGAGUGUAGAGGUGAAAUUCGUAGAUAUUCGGAGGAACACCAGUGGCGAAGGCGGCUCACUGGCUCGAUACUGACGCUGAGGUGCGAAAGCGUGGGGAGCAAACAGG
rnacentral:rRNA from 1 species